rnacentral:tRNA from 1 species
GGGGAUAUGAUUCAGUUGGUAGAUUGUUUGCCUCGCAUGCACAAAGGCCUGGGUUCCAUCCCUAGUGUAUUACA